UUGACGUGUAAGGAUGUUCCGCUACACGUCGCGGAUAUAAAAAGAAAGAAAGAAUUUUUUUUCUUCUAAAUUGUUUUUUUUUUUCAUUGUGUUGAAAUAGUGAGAGAGGAGAAGAGAAGAGAAAUAUACAAAAAACAAAAAAAAGAUUCAAUUUGAUUUUGAAAAAUAAUUUUUUUUUCGUAUAACAAAAGUUAUAAGAGUUGAAAAGUAACUCUGAGAAACGGAAAAAUUUCAUACUUCAAAAGCUUUCAAACAACAUCAUAGUUUUGAAGUUUAAACUGUUGCGAUUUUUAUACUGUUAUUAUAAUUUUUUUUUUUAUUUAUUUUAUUUAUUCUUGUUUUUUUUGUUUCUGCUGUUUCAUCGAAUCAUUAGCAAACAAUUUGGAUUUCUUAUGUUGGUGUAUUUUAAGUUUUUCGUUUUUUGUAAGUAGGAAAAGCUUUUUCAAGUGACUUGUGCAAAAAUAUCAUAAAGUGAAGCUAAAGUGAAGCUGCAAUAUUGAAAAAAAAAAAAAUAUUUUCUCAAUAAUAUUUUUAAAAAAUUUUCAGUCAUUCUUUAGACUUCGAGUGAAGCACAAGUGCUCGGGGAAUACAGUGCCGUAUUAAAAAAGAAAAGAAUAAAAAAAAAUUAAUAAUUUAAAUUAAAAGAAAUAAAAAAAAAUCAAUUACAUAAUAUUUAUUGCAUACACCAUAAAUGUUAUAAAAAAAAAACAAAAAAAAAAAAAGACUCGCGUAUUAUUUUAUAUGGUUUUCUUUAUAAUUUUUAAUUAAAAAAAAAUUAUUUAAAAAAGAAAAUAAGAAAUAAAGAAUUUUAUUAAAAAUAUUUAAAAUAUCGUGAAAGAUUUUGAAUUUUAUGAAAGAAUAAAAAUAAUUUGAAGAAAAGAAACAAAAAUUAUCAAAUUAAUUAUUUUAAAAAAUAAAAGAAAAACACUGUGGCGUUUAGGCCAUGGUGAAUGCAAAGAAAUGACAAAAAAAACUAAAGUGAAUUUUAUAAUUAGAACUUGAAACAAUUCCAGUUUUUUUUAAUAAACAACUUUUAAUAAGUAGAGAGAAGAGCAAUUUUUGAAAAGAAUAACUAAAAAUAAAAAAAAAUUGUUUUUUAAAAACUACAAAUUGGCAAUAAAAAGUGAAUUGAAUUUAGUGAAAAAAAUACUUCUAAAUUAAAAAAUCAAUUUAUUGAAAAAGUGUACAACGAAAUUUAUUUUUCAUAUUACAUUUAAAAAAAAAACACAAUUAGAAUAAGAAAAUUAAUUGAAAUAAAAGGGAAAAAGACAAAAGUAAAAACAAAAUUUUAAAAAUUUAAAAGUAAAUUUUCAAAUUUGUUAGUAUUUUUAGUUUUAUUUAAGAAUAAAAAAAGAACUAAGGUUAAUUAAAGAAACACCAACAAAAACCAACAACUUUAAAUAUAUUAAGUUAAAAAAAAAAAACAAAUAUAGAGAAAAUACAAACUACAACCGCCCAGUUUAACGAAGACAUGCAAGUCGAUGAUAAAUUGGUGAGUAAUUCGAACAGUGAAAAACAUUUUCAAAAGCAAAUUUCUAGCGUUAUUCGUACAUACGAGUAUUACAAAAUUAAAUUAAGGUACAAAAUGUUUAAGUAAUUUUAAAUUAAAUACUCAAUUUUUACCAAAAAUUUGUAUUGUUUGUGCAUAAUAUGUGCAUAUCUCAAGAUUUAAGAUUAUUUUUC